AGAGUUUGAUCAUGGCUCGAGGACGAACGCUGGCGGCACGCUUAACACAUGCAAGUCGAACGGAGCUAUUUUGAGUUUACUUGGAGUAGCUUAGUGGCGGACGGGUGAGUAACACGUGAGCAACCUGCCUUUGAGAGAGGGAUAGCUUCUGGAAACGGAUGGUAAUACCUCAUAACAUACAUUUACCGCAUGAUAGAUGUAUCAAAGAUUUAUCACUCAAAGAUGGGCUCGCGUCUGAUUAGAUAGUUGGUGAGGUAACGGCUCACCAAGUCGACGAUCAGUAGCCGGACUGAGAGGUUGAACGGCCACAUUGGGACUGAGACACGGCCCAGACUCC
rnacentral:rRNA from 1 species